rnacentral:rRNA from 1 species
GCCUAAAUCUAGAUGUAACAAUACACACACAUCCGCCCGGGUACUACGAGCCACAGCUUAAAACCCAAAGGACUUGGCGGUGUCUCAGACCCACCUAGAGGAGCCUGUUCUAGAACCGAUACCCCCCGUUGAACCUCACCACUUCUUGUUCUUCCCGCCUAUAUACCGCCGUCGUCAGCUUACCCUGUGAAGGAGCAAUAGUAAGCAAAAUGGGCCCACCCAAAAACGUCAGGCCGAGGUGUAGCGUAUGAAGUGGAAAGAAAUGGGCUACAUUUUCUAUAUUUAGAAUAUUACGAAUGAUGCAUUGAAACAUGCACCUGAAGGUGGAUUUAGUAGUAAAAAGCAAACAGAGUGUCCCUUUGAAUUAGGCCCUGAGACGCGCACACACCGCCCGUCACCCUCUGGCAGUCAACA